GAGAUGCGGGAGAGGAAGGGGUCGGGGCAGGGGGGAAGGAAUUAGACUUAGAGGUACAGUAGGGGGAAGAAAAUGUUAUAACAGGGUUUCCAUAGGUGAACGUGCGGAGGGAUCAUUACAGAGUUCAUGCCCUUACGGGGAGAAUCUCCCACCCUAUGUUAUCAUUACUUUGUUGCUUUGGGCGGGCCGUCAGGCUCACGCCCGGCUACCGGCUUCGGCUGGUAAGCGCCCGCCAGAGGACCCAAAACCCUGAAUAUUAGUGUCGUCUGAGUACUAUAUAAUAGUUAAAACUUUCAACAACGGAUCUCUUGGUUCUGGCAUCGAUGAAGAACGCAGCGAAAUGCGAUAAGUAAUGUGAAUUGCAGAAUUCAGUGAAUCAUCGAAUCUUUGAACGCACAUUGCGCCCCUUGGUAUUCCGGGGGGCAUGCCUGUUCGAGCGUCAUUACAACCCUCAAGCCUAGCUUGGUAUUGGGCCUCGCCACUAACCUGGCGGGCCUCAAAAUUAGUGGCGGUGCCGUCGUGGCCCUGAGCGUAGUAAAUAUCCUCGCUAUAGGGACCCGGCGGUUACUGGCCAGCAACCCCCAACUUUUCUAAGUUUGACCUCGGAUCAGGUAGGGAUACCCGCUGAACUUAAGCAUAUCAAUAAGCGGAGAAAGGCGAUCGCGCCGUAUC
rnacentral:rRNA from 1 species